rnacentral:rRNA from 1 species
UACGGAGGGUGCGAGCGUUGUCCGGAAUCACUGGGCGUAAAGGGCGCGUAGGCGGCGCGAGUAGUCAACGGUGAAAGCCCGGGGCUCAACCCCGGGUCGGCCGUCGAUACUCUCGUGCUUGAGCACUGUAGAGGCAGGUGGAAUUCCGGGUGUAGCGGUGGAAUGCGUAGAGAUCCGGAAGAACACCGGUGGCGAAGGCGGCCUGCUGGGCAGUAGCUGACACUGAGGCGCGAAAGCGUGGGGAGCAAACAGG